UACGUAGGGGGCAAGCGUUGUCCGGAUUUAUUGGGCGUAAAGAGCGUGUAGGCGGCCAGACAGGUCCGUUGUGAAAACUCGAGGCUCAACCUCGGGAUGUCGAUGGAAACCGUCUGGCUAGAGUCCGGAAGAGGAGUGUGGAAUUCCUGGUGUAGCGGUGAAAUGCGCAGAUAUCAGGAAGAACACCUAUGGCGAAGGCAGCACUCUGGGACGGUACUGACGCUGAGACGCGAAAGCGUGGGGAGCGAACAGG
rnacentral:rRNA from 1 species